AUUGCAGUUAUAGAAUGAGGAUAUAUUAAGUCUCUUGAAGUGAAGAAAAAAAUCUAUUAGGGUUCAUCGCGUUGUGGAGGCGAUCACCAAUAAAAUUUGGACUCUGCGUCUCCCUUUUUCCAUUCUCAUCUCUUGCAUUCAGUUUUAUGUAGUUUCUUUCGCUUCCAGCCAGAUCAAUCACAACUUGGGACCAGCUUGUUACCAAGUUCCGGGCUAGGUACUUUCCUCUAUCAAGAUUGAUGUAAACGAGGAGAGAUAUAGUUGAAUUCGCUCAGUUUGAGUCGGAAUCAUUAUAUGAGGCCAAGGAGCGGUUUCAAGACUUGUUGAGAAGAUGCCCUGAUCCUGAUAUUGCAGAUUGGUUUCUGCCUCAGAUUUUCUUUAAAGGGUUGACACCUGCUAACCAAUCAUUGCUUGAUGUUUCUCUUGGUGGUUAUCUGCGAAAAAACAAACCUACAAUGGCUUAUGAUUUGCUAGAUGAGAUGACCUCAACCGAUUUCCAGGAGCAGCGUCUAGAGAAGUUACAUGUUUCAGCUACUCAUACACUGUAUUAUUGAAGCAGGUGUUUGUCUGACACUCUUACGACAUGUGUUUGUUGUCAACUUAACAAGUAUUGUUUAUUUUUAUUUCCUUGUUUACUGUCAACUUAGACAACUAUGGUUUAGUUUUAUUUCCUUGUUUCAACACACCAUUGACACUCAUUUGAUAUGUCUCAGACAUAUCUGUAGGAGAUUAAAGAUGUGUCGAUGAUAGUUAAUGAAAAGUUAAAGAUGUUAAACUUGA